rnacentral:lncRNA from 1 species
ACAGAGAGGCAGAGAGAGACAGAGAGACAGAGACACAGCACCAAGACAACCAGGGGUGGCUGCAACACAUCCAGACUUCUGGAAAGAUGAGAAUCUGGUGACAUCUUUCACAGUUUCUGGACACUGGUAUCUUAACUGAAGAUGCCUUAGCCAUACUUUUGUCCAGAGGAGAUAGUCCAGGCAACUUUCAAAUAAUUUCCUGUAAAAGUAACUUUUAUUUGCCUGCAUCAAUUGUUGUCUCUGAGGCUUUCUGCCUUGGUCUGCUGACCUUGGACUAGUCCUGGAAGGUUCUAGCCCCCAUCACAUCUAGGCUUAGAAUGUUCUCAGCUUCUGAAACUUACAUCUGAAUAAGGUCCCCACUUUCUAGUUCUUUCUGAUCUCUGACUGCCUGAUUUAAUUUGUUCUGGCUCAAAAAAUCCUCUCCACGGUAACUGAAUGAACUUC